GAAAGCUCUGCUAUUCUUUUCCUUUCCCAUUAUAUCAUUAUUUUUUUUAUAUUAUUUUUCUUUCUUUCUUUUAUUUCUAUGGAUGCCACAUGUCUUCCUGUGAAUGGGAAGUUUAUUUUAUUUAAAACAAAACCAUGUGAUUAAGAAAUUUUGGCUGGCAGAUGCUAAGAUGGGGCACCUCCCCACGCUUUUGGUUUUAUUGUUAUACAUUUUCCUUUUUUUAAUUUUAGUUAGUUAUUUUAUUUUUUUUAGUUUAUU
rnacentral:lncRNA from 1 species